rnacentral:sRNA from 2 species
CGCGGCGGCCUGCCGAAUCCGUGCAGCCAGGAGGCAUGGAACCGGGGACCCAAGGGCCCUCAAGGUAUGGCCAGGGGUGAAUCGGCAUAUUUCAUGCCGUAGGGCGACUUCCCCGCCCGAAUCCGUCAGCUAACCCGGUAGGCAUCAGUGGAAGCCCCA